rnacentral:tRNA from 1 species
GGACCUGUGACGCAGUGGUAGCGUGUGAGAUUCCAGUCCUCAAAGUCAUCCGUUCGAAUCGGGUCAGGUUCA